AGAGUUUGAUCCUGGCUCAGAACGAACGCUGGCGGCAGGCCUAAUACAUGCAAGUCGAGCGCCCAGCAAUGGGAGCGGCGGACGGGGUGAGUAACACGUGGGAACAUGCCUUUCGGUACGGAACAACUCAGGGAAACUUGAGCUAAUGCCGUAUGCGCCGGCAACGGGAAAGAUUUAUCGCCGAAAGAUUGGCCCGCGUCCGAUUAGCUAGUUGGUGAGGUAAAGGCCCACCAAGGCACCGAUCGGUAGCUGGUUUGAGAGAACGACCAGCCACACUGGGACUGAGACACGGCCCAGACUCCUACGGGAGGCAGCAGUAGGGAAUCUUGGACAAUGGGGGAAACCCUGAUCCAGCCAUGCCGCGUGAGUGAUGAAGGCCUUCGGGUUGUAAAACUCUUUCGACGGGGACGAUAAUGACGGUACCCGUAGAAGAAGCUCCGGCUAACUUCGUGCCAGCAGCCGCGGUAAUACGAAGGGGGCUAGCGUUGUUCGGAAUUACUGGGCGUAAAGCGCGCGCAGGCGGCCUUUCAAGUCAGGGGUGAAAGCCCAGAGCUCAACUCUGGAACUGCCCUUGAAACUGUAAGGCUGGAGUACGGGAGAGGUGAGUGGAAUUCCUGGUGUAGCGGUGAAAUGCGUAGAUAUCAGGAGGAACACCGGUGGUGUAGACGGCUCUCUGGACCGUAACUGACGCUGAGACACGAAAGCGUGGGUAGCAAACAGGAUUAGAUACCCUAGUAGUCC
rnacentral:rRNA from 1 species